rnacentral:rRNA from 1 species
AUUGAACGCUGGCGGCAUGCCUUACACAUGCAAGUCGAACGGCAGCACGGGAGCAAUCCUGGUGGCGAGUGGCGAACGGGUGAGUAAAGUAUCGGAACGUGCCCAGUCGUGGGGGAUAACGUAGCGAAAGUUACGCUAAUACCGCAUACGUACUAUGGCUGAAAGCGGGGGAUCGCAAGACCUCGCGCGAUUGGAGCGGCCGAUAUCAGAUUAGGUAGUUGGUGGGGUAAAGGCUCACCAAGCCGACGAUCUGUAGCUGGUCUGAGAGGACGACCAGCCACACUGGGACUGAGACACGGCCCAGACUCCUACGGGAGGCAGCAGUGGGGAAUUUUGGACAAUGGGCGAAAGCCUGAUCCAGCCAUGCCGCGUGCAGGAUGAAGGCCUUCGGGUUGUAAACUGCUUUUGUACGGAACGAAAAGGUUUGGCCUAAUAAGCUGAGCUCAUGACGGUACCGUAAGAAUAAGCACCGGCUAACUACGUGCCAGCCGCCGCAGUAA